CCUACGGGAGGCAGCAGUGAGGAAUAUUGGUCAAUGGGCGCGAGCCUGAACCAGCCAAGUCGCGUGAGGGAUGACGGCCCUACGGGUUGUAAACCUCUUUUGCCGGGGAGCAACGGGCGCCACGUGUGGCGCCACUGAGAGUACCCGGAGAAAAAGCACCGGCUAACCCGGUGCAGCCAGCCGGGGUAAUACGGGGGUUGCGAGGGUUAUCGGGUUUUAUUGGGUUUAAGGGGUGCGUAGGCGGAUCGUUAAGUCAGUGGUCAAAUUGGGGGGCUCAACCCCUUCCCGCCAUUGAAACUGGCGCUCUUGAGUGGAAGAGAGGUAUGCGGAAUGCGUGGUGUAGCGGUGAAAUGCAUAGAUAUCACGCAGAACCCCGAUUGCGAAGGCAGCAUGCCGGCUUCCGACUGACGCUGAGGCACGAAAGCGUGGGGAUCGAACAGGAUUAGAUACCCUAGUAGUC
rnacentral:rRNA from 1 species